GCCUCUCCUCUGUACUUACUGGUGGGCAUUGUGCAAGUUUAUCAGCUGCCACCAACUGGACGUUCAAGUGUUUGCUUUGUGACUUCCCUCUGGACUUGAUCAGUCGCUGCAGAACCUGCCAGGAGGAAAGGGCAAAAGGUGCAGAUUCCACACUGCCCAUACCCACCCUGCCCUCCAGCUCCCUCCUGGAUCUUAAGGUGAGGAAUUACCUUUGGAGAGGACACCUUCACAUGGACAAUAAUUGGUGCUAGAGAUGUCUUGAUAAGCUGUGCAGGGUGAUUUAUAGUGUCUGCAUCCAGGACAACCAGCUGUAAGGACCUGGCCAGCUCAAAGAUUCUUUCAAUCUCACUCUGCACUUCAGCUGCAAAGGAAAACAAAGCAGGUUUGUUCAGAAACCACUGAACCCCUGAGCACUGGGAUAAAAAUGUGCUCACCCACUUACUGUCACAGACUUCACCUGUGAAUUGAUGGCAUUGCCAUAAAAUAACCUGUUACCUGUACCUCUAGUGCAGGCACUCACUAAGGAUGGCAGAGAUUUGGAAUUUGUUCUUUUUUUUUACCAAACCCAACUCCUCUUAGAUCCUGGGAAGGUGUCCCAGAGAGCAGGAUGUUGGAAUGCACGUGACACCCAGAAAUUUCCACCCUUGUGCAAGAAAGAACCACACAAUCACAGAACUAUCAAGGCUGGAAAAGACUUCCAGGAUCAUGGAGUCCAAAUAAAAAUUCCUCAGGCCACUGCUCCCCAGCAGUCCUGACACUGAGGGGAGCAGGACCCAAAGUCUCACAGCCAGACAGCAAAAUUCAGCUGUAACUGCUCAAAAUUAAACACACAACUGCUCCCAGGGUCAGGAAUGACAUUUCCUUGGCUGGACAAGUGAAAGCUCUUUGGCUCCUUGUGAUGUGGAAUUAAAAGCACAGGGCUGGGAAGGAGGAGGAGCUGAGAGGCCAGCUCAGGAUUAUGCAGGAAAAUGCUGUAGACACAUUUAAAUCUGCACCACGGCUGUGAUCUCAGGAAUGGCUGGAGCUGAGCCAGCAGAGGGUCAGGUUGGAUUUCAGGGCAAGGCUCUUCCCCCAGAGGGUGCUGGCACUGCCCAGGCUCCCCAGGGAAUGGCACAUUCCCAAGAGCUCCAGGAGGGUUUGGACAGCGCUCCCAGGGGUGCCCAGGGUGGGGUUUUGGGGUGUCUGUGAGGGCCAGGAGCUGGAUCCAUGAUCCUGUGGGUCCCUUCCAGCCCAGACUGGAAGGCUGGAUUGGUGGCCUGCCCCCCUGGUGUAAGCCCAGCCUGAGUGCACCUGUGCCAGGGCCUUACCUAGGCUGGACCUGGUGUUGGAGCGCUCGAUGAUGGCCCUCUUGCUGGGGUUAUUGAGCACAGACCUCUUGGCCAGGGAGAUGUCAGCUGUCACUCUGGUGAUGGAUAUCCUGGCAGGAGAGCACAGCACACACAAACACAGGAGUGGGAUUUCCACAGGCACAGCCCAUUCCAAAGGGCAGACACAACCAAACAGGCUCAGGCAUGUUUCCAGAUGAGUUAUGGCAUCAUUAAAGAACAAACGAACAGAAGUGCUGGGUGACUGGGAUGUAUUUCCUAUUCCCUGAGCCCUGGGAUGGAGUUCCUGCUAUUCUCCUUAGUGCAUUAAUUAACUUUCCUCCUCCCAGCUCACUCAUCUCCUGCAUGAAUUUACACAGUGCCAUAAAUGCUGUGGGUUAUGUGAGGCUUGGGGCACCCAGAACAAGGGAGCUGCAAUGUAGCAGCACUUCCUCUUCCUCAGAGUUACACCAGGAGUAAACCCAGCCCAGCUGACAGGGAGCUGUGCCAGGGGCUGGCAUGAGCAGGAGAAAAGGAAGUGGAGCUCUCUGGGCUGCCUGAACUCAAGUUUGACUUCACUGCACCUCUUUAACCUAAGGCAGGUGAUCUAUUUACUUCAUCUGUCAGCAGACACAAAAUGUUACAAAGCAAAGACCACACAAUCCCCUCGUGUCAAAUCCAUUUAGGAGGCCUGGGAUGAGCCAAGGAGCCAGGAAAAAUGGAAGGAAAGCAAGCUGGGAAUGACCAGCAGCUCUUGCACAGAACCUAAGAUUUACGCAGCUCUAAGUGGAAUUUUCAGCUUCAGAGUUAAAAAGAAGUGCAGUUCUUUUUCUGUACAAUACAUAAAUAAAUGCAUACAGUGGAGGCCAAAGGUAAAAAUGAGUGUAAAACAGCAGUGAAUGGACUGUGGGUCUUGGGCUCACUGGCCAGCAGGGGAGGCUGCAGUUACAAAGGAAGGAGCUGGCAAAGCCAAGGGAAUUCAGAGGCAGGGAAGGAGUCAGGUCUCUCUGAUGCCUCUGGAAAGGCUCUUCCUUGGACACUCAGCUCCUUCCUUGGUAACGUGGACCUCUCCCAGAACUGCAGAAGAGGUGGAAAGAAAGAAAGAAGAAAGAAAAGGGAGGGAGGAGAAAGACCACAAAGCCAUGAAAGUUGGCAGGACCAUGAAGCAGCUUUUUCCUGAGUUCCUCAGAGCUAAAAUCAAUGGUGUCAGGCUGCUGGUGGCACUGAGCUCUCCACUGCUGAAAUUUCAUACUCCCACCUGAUCCAGCUGCCAAUACUGCUGAUGGAAUUAGGACUUCCAGAAAUCACUUGAGCUGAGCAGCUCAGGACAGGCCAGGGGAGGAGAGACUUUGCACAGAAGUUGAUCAUUAAAUGUUCUCUCUGAGCUGUUGAGGGAUCAGUUCAGCACUGCCACCUCCUCACUCCUAAAAUCCAUAAAUCCUGCUCCAGCUCUUCUACAGAACAUCAUUUUCCCUGCCCUGGUGCUUUGGGUACUUCAAACCUGACUUAGUGUUAUGUGUCACCAGAACAGCCUCUUUUCCCACUUGGAAUAUCCUGAACUAACUGGGAAGGGCAGAACAUCCCAAACAGGCAGCAGACACCUACAAGGACUGAGGUGAUGCCAUGGACCAAGCCAGUGCUCCCAGCAAGGAAAUCCAAAUGAUCCUCUACAGCUCACCAGGAAAUGCUGCUCCAGCUGAAGAUGAAGCCUCCUUACAAUUCUUUUUCUGUGCUUUAUUCCUCAGCAUUUCCUUCUUCCAACCACCCUUUUCAGUAUUUUUCCUACUUAAGGCAGUCAAAAUAAAAUCUCAUAUAAGGAA